GGGUGGUCUGAUGCAGGAGCUGCCACUUUCAGGACUGGACUGAGACAUCUGGACAGGCAAGACCAGCAGCAGCACCAUUGAUGGGCCGGCUCAGGGGUUCCUGUGCUCCUUCUUCCCAGGAAAGAAUCAGGGCUAAGCCCACAGACAGGGCUGAGAGGGGCAGCAGGGAGGAGCCAGACAAGUCAACACAAGACAUAGAGGACCGUCCUCAUCAGCAGGGCUGGUCAGAGAGUCUUCCCUCCAGCUUCACUCUUCUCCUUGGAUGCUGA
rnacentral:lncRNA from 1 species